rnacentral:lncRNA from 1 species
AUUUCGUGAGUAUCGAUUAUUCCAUCGUAAAAAUCACAUGGCACUUAGAUUUAAUCGCUUGUCGCUAGUACGUACGUAUUACUUUUUGUUUCCGGUGAAAUGAGCCAUUGACAGUAGGUGUCUCCCUCUAGAACAUUAUUGACUUUUGAAUGAUUGAAUUUCAAAACUAUUCUGACACUGAAAUGAAACACGGAAAGUCAAUCACAUCAUAAUUCAAAUAACUUUCUUCCAUAAUGUUGGAUUGACUAGGGAUCAAAAAAUGAUUAUCAAAUAAGGUAAGGAAAGUUUGUAAACGAUCUGUAGAUUUAAUGUUAAAGUUAAAAAAAAAAAAAAGUUCAAUAUUUUUAUCUUGUUGAAUAUGUAAUUUAAUCUGCUUUGAGAUAUUAUAUAUAUACUUUAUUUCAUAUUUAUAUGAGACUGUAACAUUAAUUAAAAAAAAUAUUAAUAGAGUGAUAAUAAUAAAUAACACAACUAAAAUUAAAAUCUGAAUAAAAAGAAGAUCAGUGUAGACAGCAAACCCACAAUAUAAAAUCCAAGUGACGUGUGUUUGAAAAUUUUCGUUUUCUACAAAAAUGUAUAUGAUACUUUUUUUUUAGAAAAUUACAACUUAGAUUAACUAACAUACAAUGUGCUCAGAAAUACAUUUUAUGUUAAGAUAUUGAUAUGUUUGGAGAGAACUUUGAAAUUUAUGAGGAACAUGAAGGUUAAUAACAAUUUCUUGAAGUGCUUUCAAGAACACUUGCUUGCGUAUAAUUAUAUUCGUUAUAUAUAUUAAAUACAAUGUAUUUCCAUGAAAAACAGAGGAAAAUAAAUUCAAUAUGGAAUUUAAGGAAAAAAUCUUAUUGUUCCAGUAUGUUUCAACUAAAUUUAUGUAUAAAUGAUACAUGUAUAUCUUAUUUAGGAAUAUAUUUGAUAUAAUAUAGAUAUAAAAAUAACGUAUAGUCUUGACGCUUCAGUUGUGAGCGAACAGCGAUGUUCAUAAAUUGUUAAGUCAUGGUUCAUUUUACUUCCUGUUCGGUUUCUAGUAUGCCAUAACUACAUUUUUUUUAAUAUUUCGACUUCAAUGAAUAUAUAUACUUAUCAUAUAACCAGGGUUACAAAAUGAAGGGAUUCGAUGGCCGAGUGGUCUAAGAGGUCGAACAACUGUAUCACUAGUCUGUGGUUUAAUUUCGAUUCCCGAACGUGGCACGUUCGUCACCAAUUUGAAUUGACUAGGAUUGUAAGCUUUUGCAACAUGACGUUUGCGCUUUUUCUAUAGGAUACUUACGCUUUAUCUAAACUACAUUUGAGAUAUCAUGGUUACGAGAUUAAACAAAUUAUUUAAUAUAAAAAAACAAAAUUCAUUCAUAAAUUUAUUUACACCUAAAAACUUACAUCUUUCUCAAAAAUGAUUGUCUUCUGAAAAAUGUUUGUCAUCUGAAAAAUGUUUGUCAUAUGAAAACGACAACACUUGAAGAGGCUGGACGCAGAUUAAUUUCUAUUAACAACAAAUAUUCCUUUUAGAAGCUUUAGUCAAGGUAAACUGCAGGUUUCAGUCAUUUGAAUCGUGCUUAAAUAAAACUAUGAUGAUACAGGGAAUUUCUAUACAAAAUAUGGGCGAAGACAAAUAUAGUUUCCAUCUUAAAAUCCACGAAUUGUAUAAAGGUGCUUCAAGAAUUUAGUGCAUUUAGAGAGCCUUAUUAAAAAUUUGUGUAAUCAAAAUUAGUUAGCCUCUCUAAAUAAAGAUAUUAUAAAUAUUAUUCCUUAUUAUUAAUGACUUUUUUUUCAGCAAAAACGUAAUAAUUUUUAUGAUGCUUGUACCUUUAAAAUAACACGAACCAAACUUUGUUUUCUAAUAUUUUGUGGUAUUAUACAACAUAGUUUGAAAAUAAAUUACUGUAUUUAUAAUAUUUUGAAUUUCAGCAGCAAAAAAAAUCUUGUGGACUGAACGUACUUGCCACUGAUACUGAUUUACAUGUAAUUCGAACAAUUUUAUAAAAAGUAACCUGGUAUAAUUGCAAUUUUUAUAAUUAUAAAAUUGCACCUCCCAAAGGAUUAAUCGAACUUAAAAUAGAUUUUGCCAAUUCUAUCAUAUUUCUUUAGAAUAAAUCAUGCCUUCUCCUGCUUCAUUUUAUAUUCGAGCUUUUUCCCGCAUGAUAAUUGAUCUACUAAUAGGCAUGUUACGAAAAGGUAUAUUCACGAUGCUGGGGUUGACAAAUUACACUUUAAAUGUGGGGACUAUGUCAAAACGCAAAAGAGAUUACCUGUGUAUACAUCGGAUUUUAUUUAAAAACUGCAUUUCGCAGGCAAUUCCGUAUGGAACGGAUAUUCAAUAAAAUUUAUACCACAAGAAAUAUAAGAAAUAGAUAUUAAUAAUUUCCAUUAUAUAUUUAAGAAAAUAUACCGCAAAAAAUGUGGGGACGGUCAUGUUAAUGCAGUAGAUGUGCGGUACAACGGAGACACGGGGUACAUACUUGUGUGAAUUCUUUGACGAUCUUGCAAAUAAUCUUAAGUAUUAUAAUCUGUUUUAUACCUACUCUUAAAUAUAUAUGUAACGGUCAUUUUUAUUUAGUUUUAAAAAGCAAACAGUGUAUGUAUUUUGAUCCUGUUGUUUGCCACCUAAAUUUUUACAUAACGGGGUCUGUUUUAAAACAACUAAAACACGAUUUUUAUACAAUUUAAACUUGAGGCAUGUUGCAUUAUAUAGUUUUAGAAAAUUUACGCCUUGUAAUAUAGCUUCGAUGGCAUGUAUUUUCUUUCUUAAUUUCCUUCCAACUUUGUCUUAAUUUAAAAAGUUUUAGCUCGUUUUGUAUUUUCUUUAUGAAGGGUUUGUGAUUGAUUGAUUGUUGGUUGCUUAACGUUCAGUGGCAAAUAUUUCAUGUAUGUUCAGAACGAGAAGAGAUUUGUGUACAAUAUGACUUACUACUCAUCGGUUGAACAACCCUGCAGAGUUUCAAAAGCAUUGCAUAAUGACUUUGCAUUUACAUCUUAACACCACCUUAUGCAGACAUUUUGUAUUUCAUAAAUUCCUGAAACGUUUUGUGGAAAUUCGCCAACCGUUUCAUAAGAAAAUGACAAUAUGAAUAAAGUGACACAGAUGACCGAUGGGUCUUUCCACUAUUUAAGCAAACAAUGCUAGGGGUUUCUUUAAAAAGUAAUAUGUUUUUUAUAUUAAAUCUGUUGGAUGGGUACUUAUUACUACUCUAUGAAAGUACCAGUUGUUGUUUCAGGGAGAAUGGGAGGGGGGGGGGGGGGAUAGGAUUAAAUUUUAAAAAGUCAGGACAGGAGUUUUGAGUUAAGAAAAGGCAGAAUAAGCAACUUGGCAAAAAAAAAUUAAAAUUUAACUGCCUUACUAUGUAUAUAUUAUCAAUCUAGAAUCGAAUGAACUGGUAUAACCCUCAGCCCCCCCCCCCUUUUCUAGACCACCCAUUCCUGCGCGCGUACACCUUUUAUGUCUUAUGACAGGUUUUAGCCAGCAAUAAUAUCACACAAGCAAUUGUCGUAUAGGAUGUUACACAAUGAUGUUCUAGAUAAAUGUAAUUUGAAUUAAGCAAGACGCACAAGAUUUAAAUUUUACCUAUUUAAAUCUAUAAUCAAUGUUUUGAUUCCGUCCCCAAAUUUAAAGUCUACUAUUAGUACUGCAACCAGAGUUCAUUUUUUAAAACUUUAAUGGUCCGGAAGAACACACACCUAAAUUAUAUAUCGAUGGAAAGAGGAAAACGUGUACAAUAAGAAAAGUUGGGUCGUAAAAAUCCAGAGUGGUCACAAUUUUGUGAAAUUGAGGUCAAAGGUCAGACCUAAAAAUAUCAAUAUUUCAACCACAAGGACAAAAAGGAGAAAUAUUCUGAUAUUUAUUCAAUAGAAUGCUACAAAAACGAUUCAAUCAUAAGCAUAUGAUAUAAACGAUGUUAAAACGACAAAUUUGACUACUUAUAUGAAGAGCUGCCAUUACAAAAUGGCGUUGAUUUGGAACCUUCUGAUUUUUUUUCCAUUUAAGACAUAACAAAAGAAGAAGUGGCCUUGACCUUUUCACAUCCAUAAACUUUCAUAUUGUGUAUAGUAUUUCACUAUAGUAUAUUACAGAAUUAUUUUCUAAAGUUUAAAACACCACUUUAUCAAAUUAUUUCAAUAUUUUUUCUAUCUUUGAAAAAAACAAAAUUCAAGCGCUGAAACAGUGUUUUUAAUUUUGCAUCUUAAAGGUUGUGUAUUUUGUGAAAAUUAGUAUCUAGUUAUAGAUAAAUACAUAUUGUGUUUUUGCAAAGUCUGGACAGAGCAGUUAUAGCACAAAAUAUACUAUAGUCACCCGAGGCGAAUGCGAGGUCCCUUUUUUAUAAGAACAAGUUAGGCGCAGGACAGAGUUUAUUCAAAGCAAACACAGUUUUUGAGUACAAAUGCUAUCUGGAGCGUAAAUACCGUCAUGAUUCGGUCAAACUCGUCAGAUAUAGUCUUACCUUUGCAUAGGAAACACAAAAGAAAUGUGAGUACAAAGUUUCGAUCAAUGUUCGUGACCCAUAUUUCCAUAUGCAUAUGCAUGAUGUAUCUGUACUGCCAAUCCCAAAUGUAAUGGGGCGAAUGUUGCUACAGAAACGAUUGAUUUUGUAAUAGCCAUACGUUUACGAAUUUUUGUUAUCUUUAGGGACAAUAUACGGUUCAGAAGCGUCUUUGUGUUAUUUUUCAUCAAUUUACUAACAAAUGAACUUUUGAGCCUAGGCUCCGUGUUGAAGACCGGACCGUGACCUUUAAUGGUAGCAUUGGCACACAUAUAACAUCUUCCUAUAUCUAUUAACAAGCUAUGCGAGCAUCCUUUCCAUAGAAAUACCAAAACGAGGACAUAGCUCAUAAGAGCACUGGUGGCAGGGUGAAGUAAUUGUUCUUCUUUUAAUGUAUCCUUGGUAUUUUCAGACACACCUUGGUGUAAUUCUGAAAGUCUUAACAUAGACUUCAAUUUUCCUGCAGCAGAUAUGGCAUCCCCUAAAUUGAGUUCAGAGCUAAACUCUUUAUUUCAUAUCCCUUGGCCCCACUGUGUCUGAAUUGUAAGGUGUCACAAUAUCUAAUUAGUUCUGGAGUUUGGCAGUUUGGUAAGCAUCAGAGACAAUUUUGGAUAAAACUGAUCGGUAUAUAUAGAGGAUGCGUGCUACAUGAGAAAGGCUUUUUCUUAUGGAAGAACAAAUAACAUCACUAUCAAUCGUUAUUAAUGAACUGACAGCAAGUUCAAAUUCUAAAUUUUCAGUAACUGUUUUACUUAAUUGCACAGGUGUUGACUUCAAUAAGUACUUGGUUAUGCAUGGAUAAAUGAGUACUCACAUUAAUAAGCACAACUUAAAAGACUGUCAACACGUUUAAAGGACUCAGUUUUGCGUAGUUUUCUGGGUUUUUUUAAAGGUUUUUCUUUUACACAAAAACCCUGUUUUCAUAUCCAAACUACAAGGAACAAACUGAGCGCGAGAUCGUAUAAAAGUGUCAGGUUGUGAGGAUACAUGUCGAUUAGUUUGAUCACAUAUAUGGAUUUCUGUUGUUUCUAAUUUAAAGUUCCCCAAGGGUGACUGGGGAAACGAAAUAUGGUCACUUGGUCUUCCUCCGACAGGCAGUAAAACGAAGUGGGGCGUCCGUUUGGCUGUGCGGGAUGUAUCAAGUUCGCAUUCACGUCCGGUCAGAAUGGGGACGUUAAAUCCGAUGCCUCGUGUAAAGGGAGUGUCACGUUCUUUGCACGUUAAAACCCUUGCAUCAACUCUUUGAGGGGUCCGUACGUGGAAUGUUGCAAUGGACAAUUUCUGUCCCAAUCCAAUAUACCUUCAUUUUCCAUUGGCAGUCUAAAUUUUCCCGAUCAUCAUCCCGAAUGGCCUCUAUUAUGACAAAACCUACCUAUUGUUUUAUUGUUAACUUGUUCUCAUCCUGAACAUGCAUGAAAUAUUUGCCACUGGACGUUAAGCAACCAACAAUCAAUCAAUCUAAUUUAAAGAUGCACACCAAGUUUGCCUUCUGGUGCAAGUUUCAUAACAUCACUGAUGAUUCGCCCACGGAAAGCAGAAUAUCAAGAGAAGUUGGUUUUAGUAUCACCUUGUCACACACCAAAUCUCUGCGAAACUUCAAUAGUACUUUUCCCCCGACCACUUGCAUGCAUAUUAAUUGCUCUGAGGUUAAACAUUGACAUACAAAGUAUUUUCACACAAUGUUAACUAUAGUCAUUAUCCGGAAAAACCUCUUAUCCGAAGGAUUUGGUUAACUUUUAUAUAAAAUCAAAAUUUUAUUAACAAAAAUAUAACUUUUUUACAGAAAAUACACGAAAGAACUACUAUAUAUAUUCAAAUCACUCAAAAAUAAAUUAACUUCUCCUACAAAAUCUACAUAAUCACAUCGAAACUAUCAAAUUGAUUGUGAAGGAAAAAAUAAAUGGUGGAGCUGAUUGACGGAUAGGAAAUUUCCGUAAUUAAAAAAGGUACAAAUGAUGUUUUUAUUUUUGAGUUUUUGACAAAAUUGUUUGGAAUUUGCCCAACAAAAUUUGCAUGCAGUAUCGCAUUAAUAUGUUUUGUCCUCUCAAAUGUCAAAUACUGUUUUUGAAUCACAUGUUUUCUCGUUUUCAAAGAAAAACGCGGUAAAUUUCUAUCUAAAAAAUCAGCCAACUUUAAGUUUGAAAGUUUUACAUGGAGAUGGUAUUAUAUUUAUGUCUUCAUCAUUCCGAUAAUCCUUGAUGAUAUGUGCAUAGAAAAUAUUUACGAAAAUAGCGGGAAAUUUAACCAAAAAAUAUAUUUUUGGAUUUUAAGGUAACUACCCAAAACCGUAAAUUGAGGGGUACCCCCAUUAAAGGGAUAAAAUACAAAAAAUGUGACCAUAGAAACUUUUUACGACCCGACGGAAAUUAAAAUAUAGAUAUUAUUCUAUCAUUUAAAACAAUUUGCAGCCGUGUGUUAUUCCGGACCAUUAAACUCGUUAACUAAGCGUCUUUUUCGAUGUCAGUUGCAGUACUAUAUAACACACCCGUGAUAUCACGGGUCCGUGACUGAAUUAAAGUAUAUAACUAUGCGCACGCCUUAUUGUAGUAUUAGUAUUGUCAUCUGAUAAAGUCAUGCCGAUAAUAAGAUACACAGUUUUUCUCUGCUUUCAAGUCUUUCUGUUUUAACCCGUCGAACUGAAACAAUAAUUUUUUUGGGAAAACAAAAGGUCCUGGAAUGGAGUAUUUUUUAAUCAACAGCAUGUCCUAUAUAAGUUAUAAAUAAAGAUGAAUUCUCGUUUCGCUGUUUUACGUCAUGCCCACUAACAAAUUGAAAACUGUACCUAUACGCCUUAUUUUUAGUCCAAAUUUUUAGUAUUCGUAUUGUUAUCUUAGAAAGUCUUACCGAUUAAAAUACUACAAUGGGUAACAAUUUGACAAUUUAGUAGUGUCAACCCUGUGGUUAUGACCUGUGUAUAUAGCAUAUUAAUCCUGAAUACAACGUUUGGUGGUGCGCCUGUCAGAUGCGGAACGUACAGAUAAGGUAAUAGGUAAUAGGUGAAUAUACUAUUGGUAUCGGUAGCGGACUCGACCCGGAACUUCUUAAUUAUUUGCAAUAUUAAUUACGUGGAAAACAAAAGGGCCUGGAGUGGUGUAAUUUUUAAUCUACACCUUUGUACUAUAUUAGUUAUAUAUAAAGUUAAGUUCUGUGAUUCGUCGUUUUUACGUGAUGACGUCUGACAAAUUGGACCUCGUAAUUUUAGUAUUAUAGAUUUGUCAACCUCAUCGUCGAGAAUAUACCUUUUCGUAACAUGUCUUUUAGAUCAUGGUGAGAUUUUACAUCUCCUUCGGGGUAAGUCGACUUUUUAAGACAAUUUCAAUAAUCUUUAAUUAAACCCUUUUUAGUUGUCUAUAUCAUUGUUGUUUUUUUUAUUAAACAAAACCACAAAACUACAUUAACACAAUGAAUUGCAUCAAACUGUCUGGACCAUUUGUUGUUCUUUGUUGUCGUAGUUUAAACGUCUGUUCUAAUUUUCGGAGGAGUUGGUACAUGUAGUUGGUGUCUGUUCUAAUUUUCGGAGGAGUUGGUACAUGUAGUUGGUGUCUGUUCUAAUUUUCGGAGGAGUUGGUACAUGUAGUUGGUGUCUGUUCUAAUUUUCGGAGGAGUUAGUACAUGUAGUUGGUGUCUGUUCUAAUUUUCGGAGGAGUUGUUACAUGUAGUUGGUGGCUGGUGGGGCUUUCAUAACCGUCUACUAACUUUCAGUAAAUUUCAUAAAGAUAGAACAUUCGAUAUGCUGUACGUUGAUUUAAAUUUACCACACAUACUAUAAAUGAACACAUAAAAACAAUAUAUAGCAACAAGAAAUCCCUCAAAUCGGUUUUUGUUUUAUAAAAAUAAGAAGAUGUGGUAUGAUUGCCAAUGAGACAACUUUCCACAAGAGACGAAAUGACGUAAAAGAUAGUUUGUUCAGGAUAAACUUGGCUUUUAACUGGUUCAACAUUGUCAAUUUUCCACAAGAGACCGACUGACGUAAAAGUUAGUUUGCCUCAGGCUAAACUUGGCUUUUAACUGGUUCAGCAUUGUCAAUUUUCCACAAGAGACCGACUGACGUAAAAAUUAGUUUUCUCUGGCUAAACUUGGCUUUUAACUGGUUCAGCAUUGUCAAUUUUCCACAAGAGACCGACUGACGUAAAAGUUAGUUUGCUCAGGCUAAACUUGGCUUUUAAAUGGUUUAGCAUUGUAAUUUAAACCUGCUUUAAGCCAUUUCAGAUAAUGUUGAUGUAAUUGAACACAGAAAUACGAGCCUCACAUUUGUAAUACUUCUUUUUGCUCUUGAUAUUUUACGUCUUUAAAGCAAUAACAUAAUAUUGUUAAACGUUAAUAAAAUGUUUCCUUUAUAAAUAUCAUCCUUUUCAUUUCAUUCCCUUGUGAGUCAUUACACAUUUAUAAAAAUAACUCAAUUUGCAUUUAUAACUAAUAUAAAAAUUCUCAGUUCUAAACAUUUUCAACAGAUUUAUUUUGAUUGAAUACAUGAUACUAUCGAUAGUUAAAACCAUCAUUGUUAUAACGGCUUUAUCGUCGUAAAAAUAAUCGGAAAAAAUUAGAAAAGUAUCACCAUAAAAAUCAAAACCAUAGCAAAUGACAUAAUACAGUGCACUUAAUAACUGAACAUUUAAUUUUCCUAAUUAAUGUAAUUGAGAACCAAGUCUUAAAGUGAUUAGCAAAAGUUACUUUGAUUGACUCAAAAUAGUAUGUGGGGUGUGUUAAACUUCCAUAUCUAGGUUCAUAAUACGGGUAUUUAUGUAUAAUACAUAUAUGUUUAGUAUUGAUAAUAUAAUACGUGUCCUAGAAAAUUGAUAAUUCAUUUAUACGUUACUACUAUUAUAGUACUUUUAGAUCGGUACUUUGUGUCUUCUUUGGUUGUUUUGUAUUGAUACUAUAAGAUCUGAUGAGCCAAGUACGCCCUUUCUUUUAACUGACUGUGUGUUCGUAUUCGGUGCUCAAUUUUCCAAGGUUAUAAAACGAAAAAGAGCCAUCGCAUGUUUAACGUUGCCGCAUUUUCAAAUACACGUCUGUCACUUGUCAUGAUUCUUUAGUUCGUUGUCGUGUGGUACAACUGUUUCUCUUAAGGUUUUCCGCUUACACUAGAACGUUAGUUUUCUCUCUUGAAUUUGUCACACUUUUUAUAUUUCCAUUUUAUAGCUUACUAUACUUUUUUUGGCAUUGUUGAGGUCUGUUGGUUUGAAAAUGUAUACCGAGUACUUGUUCUACAUGCAGAUUGUUAGUAUACUUGAUUGGAUUGGUUUGUUUGACUUGCUUCAACAUUAAGUCGUUCGAUAUUUUGUGAAAAAGUCUAACGUAAAAUGUAACAGACUUGUAGAUUUUCUGGCUUACGAAUUCGAAGAUCUGUUUUCAAAAACGCUUUCUAUACAUAAUGCUUUAAAAAAAAAAGUAACAUGUAAGAAUUUUUUGUUAGUUGUUGUUUUGAUUCAUGUCGAUCUGAUGAAACAAGCCAUUUCACACAGAUCUUUACAGUACUUAGGUUGUGCUGUUUCACAACUGUCUCAGUUAGAGGGAAGGGUUGAGCGAACACAAACAUGUUCUACCCCACCACAAUUUUUAUCGUUCUGUAUCCUAAGCCAGGAGCCUGUAACUCAUCUGUUGUCGUUUGUUGCUGUCUGUCUGUCAUGUUUGUUUUUUGUUUAUUAUAUUGCGACCAAUCAGGCCGUUCACUUUUUUCGUUUGAAACGUUUAACAUUUUGUUAUUACGGGAUCUGUUAUAAAGACAAUACUAUAUUGAUUUUGCCCAUGGUUAUUAUAGGCCGUAUUGUGACCGGUUGAUGCUUAAAGGUUGCACUUUGUAAAUACAGCUGUUUCUCAAAACACGCCUCACGCCUCUUUUGGGGAGAUCUUGAAUAUUCAUAGAAAGUUAAUAUUGUUUACAUACUGGUUCCCAGUUAUGCUCUCUGUGUUCCAUCUCACAGAGACAUAACUUGGGAAUGUUACCAGUAAAUUUUCAUGUGCAUAUUGUUUACAUUGAAAUCUGUGGUAACCUUUCAUUCGAGGUAGGGGUAGUUAAGAAAAUAAGUGUUAGUUUAAACUCUGAGAAGUUCAGGGCAUAUAAACGUUGAAAAUAUGCCGCACAGCCCUAUAUUUUGAUCUAUGAAAAAAAUUGUGGUGCAUAUGAACUUUCAAUUCUAGGAUAAGAUUUUUUUCAAAACUUCAUAGAAAAAGUGGUACAGUUUUAGCCGUAAAAGGAGUUCCUAUGGGAAAUUGCAUUGUCAAUAUUAAAAGAAAUGCAACCUAAAACCGCGUCAUUAGUAUAUUCUGACGGCAAUGUUAUCACAUAACCUUAUUGUAUAAUGAUGACAAACAAUUCCUCGAAGAAUGUAAAUAUAAAAAAUAUGUUGUAUGAUUGCCAAUGGGACAAUUCUCCACAAGAGACCAAAUGACACAUAAAUUAUUAACUAUAGGACACCGUACGGCCUUCAACAAUGAGCAAAGCCUUUAUUGCAAACGCAUUUAUACUAUAACUAGUUUGUGGAUCAAACGGACAAAACAAAAUGAUUAUAAGUACAUGACUGUCUCCUUUGGUUUGUGAAGCGGGAGACAAUUAACAAAUUAUCAUAGUAAUGUAGUUUUGUAAAUUUCCCUACAUCAAAACUAUAUUAAAAUUAUUAUCUUCUGUAAUUUCCCAUCAAAUCUAUUCGGAUUAUAUCCUUAAAGUUUCUAAUUCUUCUAUAAGAGAAACAUGUUCUUCUAUUCUAUUCUAUUAAUUUUAAAUUUUAGUUUUUCAGGAUUAAUUAUAAUGAAGGUAUAAAUAUUGUGUUAGAAUUUAUACCACAAAAUUUAUUCAAAAUGGUUUACGUAAUAUGUUAAAAUGAACAAAGACAAACGAUUUUAAAUAUGCAUUUGGAAGUGAACGUUUAGACAGAUGACAUUUUCCAUUAUCUCAAAUAAAAUAUCGGUAUCAUGCGUAUCGCCCACAAAGUCAGUAUCUAGUACUGCUUGUUGACCAUCAGUUUUCGAGGGUACCAGCUCAACAUCCAAUAACGUUUGAACAAACAUAAUUUAAAUGAUCUAUAGUUUUGUCCGAAUAGUUCUAUGUUAUAAUUAUGCCUUGUGCUAAAAUAAAGGUCGCAACUCUCUAGCAAAGUUUACCAAAAACGGUUUUGGUUGGUUUCUCUCUAUGCCCUUUUUAACGUUUUCUAAUUUGCGACUGUCCAGAGUUUUGUUUUCUAGACUUAACUUUUAAUUUGUUUUAGCGGAUACUUUUUUCAAACAUUCCAAAAUGGUAUCAGACGUUCUUACUUCAUUGUACUACUGGAUAUAUACUGCUGGUGGAGAACUACAUGUAUCAGUUCAGUCAUUUUAUUGUUGCAUUUUGCUUGUAUAUAUUGUAUGUUUGUAUAUUCCAGUUGAUUAAACAUGUAUUUGAUCUUAAGGUGGUACCUAACACUACAGUGAGAUGACUCUGUAAAAUCAGCUAAACGUUUUAAUUACGUUGUGUUGGUAAAAGAAUAUUAAGCUUCUCAAUGAUCAAAAUAAGUGUUUGUCAAACUGCUAUAUAACCAGUGUAUUUUUUCUGAUAAAAUGGUUGGUUCAAAUUUUUGGAAAUUUUUAUAUUUUUGUCAUAUAGGGUGUAAGUAAAUCAUUUGUAAAAAUUUUAUGAAAAUUAAAUGAGCAAAAUAAAUUUCAGUGAAUGUGUUGGGUACCAUCUUAACUGAAUGAAAAAUCACUAUGGACAAUCGAUUUUACUUUUCUUUGUUUUUUAUUGAGGAAAACUUUCUUGUGAAAUUGCACUAAAUAUAUUCAAAUGUCAAGAACAUGUAGAACGGUUCAGAAGAGAGUCUAGUAAAGUAUAUCUAUUUAGAAUUAUAUGCAUUUCCAGUCCCUUUACCAGUAUAUGUUACAUGUACGUAAAAGACUUUAAAGUUAUCAUUAACAAGUAAGCAAUUUAUAGAUGCACAGUUGAACAAUAAAACUUUUGCAAGUGUUUUAAAACGCCGAACUGAAAAGUUUAAACCAACAUAUGAAAUUGUAACACCAAAGAUUUUGACUAUUAAAAGUGUUUGCCUGUCAAUUUCGGAAAACUACAUGUCUGAAAGUCAUUUGUUUUUCUUUCAAUCCCUCAAUUAAUUUAGUUCAUGACAUCAUGGACAUGCAAAUUUUCAGAGUGAUGAAUUUCUUUAAUGAUACCAUGCAUUUCACGAAAAUCAGGCAACCAUUAUAAAAGUUUCAACUGUCAAUUCGAAGAUAGAAAAUUGAAAGUUCGAGGUUCGACGGUACGGGCAAAAUGAACAAGCAUAUCUUGAUAGUGAUUCAUAAAAAAAACCUAUAUUUGAUUAUGAUGAUAGAUAUGACUAUCGUGUUUACAUAAACCAAAGCUUCAAGUAACGCGAGAAUUCACAGCAUCUAAGAUAUUUUCAAUAACUAUUAUUAAAAAUUGUACUUGAUGUGACAUAAGAUGAUGUAAUGAAAUUUACAUUCGCAAUCGAUUAAUCUGUAAAUCAAUUACUAAUUUGUGAGAACAAAUAUUUGUAUAAGGACUUUAUAUGAGAGAUUGAAUUUUCAAAGGAACACAGAUAGAACGAUUUUAAUUUUCUAGUUCAAGACCUUCAUGAGGCUGUAAUAGUUUACUUUAGGUUUAUAAUGAGAAGCUUUUAGUUAAUGAAUUUUCAAUAAACUGAUAUUUUUCGCGAUUUCAAUACAUUUAUUUAAUCACAAUUCUUUGGUAAUUUGGCUUAACCACAUUUUUCAAGACUAUUUACUGCUUUUGACAGCUUUCUGUCUCGAAGAGAUUGGCUAACAACUAUUUUGCAGAUACAUUUCCUCUCAAUAAUUACAUUAGAAGUAUGUUUCAUUAUAAUACUUUAUUCCGAUUGGCUAACUGCACAUCCCGUGUUAUUCCUUAAGCAAUUGCAUUACACAAUAAAACUUAUCAUUCGUGAUAACACGUGGUCCCACAAUAAAGUGCACAGGUAAAUUAAAUAAAACAAUUAUAAAAUUCGUGUUUACAUGAUCAUAGCUCAAAAAAUGUAAUUAUAAGUAUUUGUAACUUCAUAGGGUUGUAAAAGCGUUGACCGUGAGCACAGUUUUAGAAUGAAGCGCUUCCGCGCUUCAUACAAAAUGUACUUCGGUCAACGCUUUUACAACCAAUGAAGUUACAAAAAGAAGCAUUCAAUUCUUAAAUAUACCCUCGGACAUUCAUGACCAAUAGUACAAAGGUGAGUUUAAUAUAGGAGAUACGUAAUUCAGUGGUCGUUAGUUGCUGAUAGCUAUACUUGUUUUUCGUUUAUUUUUUUACCAUAAAUCAUUUCUUUAAUUUUCCCAGUUUGAAUUGUUGUUUCAUAUUUUGUCAUGCCGGUGCCUUUUAUAACUGACUAUACUGUAUGGUUUUAACUCAUUGUUGAAGGUCACAGGGUGACCUAUAGUUGCUUACAUAAUUUGAACUCUAGUGGCGAGUUGUCUCAUUGGCAAUUAUGCUACAUCUCUUUUUUUUGAAAUUACAUUAGUUUACCGACAAUUAUCUGUCGAGAUAGAAUGAAAUUCAAAACAGUGUAGCUGUGGCCAUUGAUUGACACAUUUAAUUCAUCCAUUGACUGGGACAAUUUAGGUGAACGUUUGUAUGUAACGACCACUACUCACUAUGUACUUUUUAAAGACACUUACACUAUGGGGUCACCAAAGGUUCUCAACACAUAAAUAAAGUAAUUCGAAAAAUUAAUCAGAAAUAACACGAUGUUUUGAUUUAUAUAUAUUAUAUAAAUCAAAACCUAAAGGUUAUUCCUGAUUAAUUUUUCGAAUUUAUUUUAUAAUUAAAGGCGUUAAGAAACCUUUGGUGACCCCACAGUUUAAAUGUCUAUCGUAGGUACGUCGUAAACAGUGGUCGUUACAGACGAACGUUCACGUAAAUUGUCCCAGUCAAUGGAUGAAUUUAAUGUGUCAAUCAAUGGCCAAAGCUACACUGUUUUGAAUUUCAUUCUAAAAAUAUUUUUUUGUUUCUUGCAUUUUUCACGUAGAAAAUUGCAAAAGAGAUAUGACUUGCCACACUGGUAGUUUAAAGAUAAAUACAUUUGUGCAGCAUAUCGAUUAAAAAUAAGGGGGGGGAGUGAAUAAAAAAAUCAAAUGAUCUUUUUCUUUAAGAUUUUGAUUUAUUUUCAAUAUCAAAUGUAAUUACAUCAUGCGGUUUCUUUUGAGUUUGCAAUUAGUAGCGUCCAGGCUAAGUACGUGUGACGGAUUGUAGAGUUCUGGUUUUUCAGUAUUUGCAGGAGAUGUAAUUUUUUGCAGCUAGAUUAAAUUGCAGCAUCAAAUACGAUUGUAUUAAACGACUUAAACUAUACCAAUGGCAAAUCAAAAUAAACAAAUGUAUCUCAUUAAGAAGUUAAUUUCGUCACAUUUUCCGUCUUUGUUAGUUAUGUCAUACUAGUAGUUUAUAUUCAUCACUCUCUCCAAAUUGCAUUUGUCAAAUGUACAGUGCAAGUAAAAUUAGAUGAAAUUUCCAUUCUAAACAUUUACAAUCCAGUUUAUUACUUGUGCCAGAUUAACCAAAAGAUCGACCGUAAAACAGAUUGAUCAUUUAUAGAAAUGAGAUCUGAGUAUUUUGGUGUUAUUUUGAAGUCGAAAAUCAAAUGUCAAUAUUACAAUGUAGGGCUUGUUAUUAAAACUGCCAUAUCCAAUGUCAUUGAUUACGCCAUCAAAGUGUAAUUCGAUUGAAAAUAGUGGAAAACAUUUCAUCAUAUUUAGGUCAUGAACAAGUACAAUAAUACAUGUAUAUCAAACUUGAUAAAUGUUUUACGGUGGCUUGGCCUGAAGGAAGGAGAAAGAUCUGGCCCCUGUAUUAAAAUAAAAGAAGAAACUGUAUGUAUAUAACAAGUUAUCAAAGGUACCAGGAUUAUAAUUUAAUACGCCAGACGCGCGUUUCGUCUACAUAAGACUCAUCAGUGACGCUCAGAUCAAAAAAGUUAUGCGGAAGCCAAACAAGUACAAAGUUGAAGAGCAUUGAGGACCAUUGUUUUAAUUGUCAAUAAAAAUUCGAAAAAAUUGACGUAAAAAUAUAUGAAUAAAAGACAUUCGGCUUAUAUUUCGGUACACGAGACACUCGUUUCUAUUACGUAAGAAUUGUCAGUGGCGCCCAUAUAGACAAUAGGAAGGCAAUAUUUAAUACGGAGUUAAGUUAAAAAGCAUUAUAAACCAGAAAUUCAGUGAUACAAAAAAACCUUUGGAUCGGCAAACCUAAAAGUAAAAUCGUACAUACAUUUCCUAAAAGUAUUUGUAAUCAUUUUUUUUUUAUAAAUUCUUAUCUAAUUGUCCCAUGUACAAUUACCGCCACCAUCACCAUUAUCAAAAUCACCACCGACAUCACUGUUGGCACAAUCAAUGCUGCCGUCACCAUUAUCAUCACCCCAUUGCCAUCACCACAACUACCCUUUCUUCUCCACUUCUUUCCAGUAAAACCUUAAAUUCUCUUAAAAAAAGGCACAUACAAAAGAUUUGACGUCUACAUUUUUCAACCAAUGUGCACGUGGUAUAUGUUAAAAAUUAAUCUAGACUGAGUAUUAUAGUAUAUCAACUAGAUUUUCUUUUACUUUACAUUUUAUUGUUAUCUUCAUUACCAGUAUCCAUUGUUCCUGCUUGUGCGAAGUGAAUUUUUAUAAAUUGUUAUUUACUUUCUUAAUAGAUGAUUGAUUCAUAUAUACCAGGAAAACGCAAGACGUCGUUUCGAAAUAAUUGUUCCAUAGAACCACGGUACAUAUUGUAUGUACUUAAGAAACUUUUAAUAAUAAUGAAGCUGUCUUUGUUUUUUUUUAAAUUGCACUCCACAACACGAAAGUGAAUCAAUCAUAUAAGAUUAUAUGCAUUUCAAAAAUUAUCUCUAAUAUCAGAAAAUGUUCUUCUAGAUAAUAAAAGAAGGUUGUAGCUUUUAAAAAAGCUGAAACAUGAUAACUGCGUGUAGACAGACGAUGAAAUCAACACAGAAAGAAACUUAACUCUUGCGGAAGUGAAAUAAAAAUCACAAUAUUCUGAAUAAACACGAUAUAUUAAAAGUUUAAAAUGAUAUAUAAUAGAAAGUCUAUCUCUUCGACUGUUUUACUGAGGCACCCCGGGUUGCCCAAAAAAGAUAAUUAAAUACGAAAUUUGUCUGUUAAUGUCAGAUACUUCUUUGACUAAAAAAUGUCGAUAAAUAAAAUGACGAAAAUAAAUGAGCAAAUAACAUUUAAAUAACGUUUUACGGAACAACAUUUAUUUUUUACGAGUCUAGACUUGGAAAUAUUUUGACAUAAACUAUUAAAGAUCUGCUAGCUAUGUCAAAUAAAUUUCAUGAAGAUUAAAGAAAGACAACUAUAAAUGAACUAACGAGUUUCUAGACUGGAAAUAAGAAACUAAUUUAUGGCGGGCUUCAUGUACUUUUUGUACAGUCACACUUUCAGUCUCUUUUAUUUUAUCUUGACCAAUGGAGAAAUCCGAAACAUUCGAAAGGUACAUUGAACUCACAAUAAGUAAGAUAUGCUGCAACAAUUUGAAGAAAACUGGGUCAUGUCCUUCAAACCCCGACAAGCGUAGAGUACUGCGCACCAUAAACAUAUGCACAUCAUGUGACCCGACCUACAACAUAUGGAACACCCCUAGCUACGAUAAAAGGCAAAGAACUUUGGUCUUAAUAUCAGUUCUAACCGCAGCUUAUUUUCCACAUUUAGAAGGUACGGCCCAUGUGAAAUGUCUCGCAUUACAAACAGCUGCAAAAUAUAUAAAAUAACUCCCAACUACGGUAAAAAAUCAAAGGACUUUGGUCUUAAUAUCAGUUUAAACCGAGCUGGGUUCUACAUUUAGACAGCAUCGCCCAUGUGAAAUGUUUCUACAUCAUACAUAUUUAUGCUCAACUCGCUUUUCCAUAGUGAUUGACAGCUUUCAUAAAAAGUGUUCUGAAAGCUUUCAGUUUUGAUUUCUACAUCUUUAUGUAAAGAAAUGGGUUGAAUAUUCCUUUACUUUUGAUUUAAUUGUGUUAAAAAUUGAUUUUGCAGACAAAUGUAGAGUUUUAGCAUCAAGUAGAAUUCAUGUUUAAAACAUUUAUGUUCUCUUAGUUGAUUAAAGAUGAAACGUGUUUGAUGCACUUUUCAUUUGUAAAUCAUGCGAUUUUAUGAGUUAUAUUUCUGCAGGUGAUUUGUUUUAAGUAAAAUUAUCACUUUUAUUACAGAUAUGAAUUACUAUAAUUAAGUUUUUAUUGUAAAUUGAGACUAAUUGAUGGCACUUCAAGAAAAACAGGUAUUGAAUCUCAAUAAAAUGUUCUUCCAAGACUGAUCGAUCAAUUUCAGUUUCAUUUUUUUCCGACAAACAUUAACAAUUCAAAAAUUUUUGUAAGAGAUAUUGCAAUUUGAAACUUGAAAUCUCAAUUAAAAGUCUGGUGAAUUACAACAAGGAAAUAUUGGUAAUAAAAAAACUUCCAACAAUUUCCUUGAUAUGAAUGAAUUAUUAAUUCUUAAAACUAUCUGAGGAAGUAAAUGUACUGUUUGUACUAUAGACGUAAAAGACUAUUUUGUUUUAACCAUUAGUCUGACUGAUUGUAAAGAUUUUAUAUAGGCAUUUUAAAUUCAAAGAUUUAUCACAAUACAAAUGAUAUCUAUUUAUGAAUAAUUGAUUGCUGCAAGAACUGUUUUAUCGAUCAUAAGACGUCAUACCAUACCUCUGAUAAAUAAAGUGUCAGAAACGUCAUUGUGAUUGUCAGAAUGUGAACAUUAUCUGUUUUAACUUCAUUUCCUGGAUAAGAAAGGCUUUUUGUUAAAAUCUACCGGUGCGUCAACUUUUCGUGGGAAUUAUCGCAUAUUUUUUUAAUUAACUUGUAUUACGAAACUAAACAUCUCUAUGUAAAACAGUCAAUUUACAUUUGAACCAGUUCUAAUUUUUAAUGUUAUAUAUAUGAAUUUAUUGAGUAUUCUACAAAUCAAAUCGCCGAAUAUCAGUCACAGGUCACACUUUUAAACUUUUUGCGAUGUGGACGUAGCAAACAAGCGAAAAAGCUUCGCAUUAUGUCGAUCUGCUGAUAUUUUACGAUUUUUAUAACCAGUAAACCCGAUAAUUGAUUUAUCUUACGAUUUCUGAUCGUUUACCCUUCAUUAGGCAGUACUAAAGUGACGAAAAUAAGAUUGGUAACAUUUCCUCAAACAUUGUGACGCAACUGAUAACUUUUGCUCAGACAUUAUGACCUACCAAAGCCGCGACACGAGCUAACGUCAACCACUUAACCAAAGGAUCCUGACAGGGUCAUAAAGAAUGUUGCUGAGUUAAACAUGUUUCAAUGUGUCAACUUCAGUCUCCUAAUCUGGGAUAGUUAUGUAUCGGCAGAACAAAAGAACAAACUUUAAAAGCAGGAAAAAAUCUAACAAAACACAGAUCGGACUUGGCAGGGAAUUUAAACAUACCCCGUACAUGUAACAACAAAUUUUUAAAACAAAGUACAGAUCUGAGAAAUCUAGCAAUUACAGUCAGGUAGUUCAAAGCCAAUAUCAAAUAAACCAAUAACUUCAAUUCGUCUCAAACGCUGAUCUUGGCACAAUGUUCGUGCAUUUUAUGUAGAAAGUGCUUUAAAAUAAAGUUUAUGUUUAUCGUGUUUAUAAGAUUGAUGUGUUAACUGGAUCUUUCGCGUUGAUACACAAGUCCUUCUGACUAUAUUCAGUGUAUGUGAAUUGGUUGAGUUUACACACCAGUAAAAUCCUUUAAACUUCAUAGUUACAAUGUAUAUAUAAUUAGUACAGUAUCUUUUUACAUGUAAUGUAUCAUGGUAAAAUUUUAUAAUAUUCCAAAUAUCCUUAUCUUAUUACUGUAAAUUCAGAAAUUAUUGCGAAUUUUCAAGAAUUGACAAAAAUGCGGGUUUAAUUAUAGCGAUUUCGAAAAAAAUGUAUACAGGUCCAUGUUUCAGUUAUCAGAAUGCGAGCUCUUCUUAUCAUUGCGAUAUUCACCCAGUCGCAUUAUUCGAUCGAACUUUUUUUUGAAUUUACAGUAUUCAUUCAUUCGUCAUAAAAAAAAAGAAUACAUAAAACGCUAGUAAAAAAUAAUGUUCUUUUCUUUCUUUUCAGACAAAAGUCAAAAUGCUUCUCUGCUAUGGCAACGACUAACUGCAGCUAUACUGAUAGCAGCAAUAACUACCAAGUACUGAUAUGUGCGUCAAAUGAAUUUUGCUGUACUGGUUCCUCGUUAAAUACUUGUUCUUCUACGAUAUGUUCAACCUCGGCAUCAAGCAGCAGUAGUUCUAGCAUUUCACCGACUUU